AACGUAGGACACAAGCGUUGUUCGGAUUCACUGGGCGUAAAGGGUGCGUAGGCGGUCGGGUAAGUCUGACGUGAAAUCUUCAAGCUCAACUUGGAAACUGCGUCGGAUACUAUUCGGCUAGAGGAAUGGAGGGGAGACUGGAAUACUUGGUGUAGCAGUGAAAUGCGUAGAUAUCAAGUGGAACACCAGUGGCGAAGGCGAGUCUCUGGACAAUUGCUGACGCUCAGGCACGAAAGCGUGGGGAGCAAAAGGG
rnacentral:rRNA from 1 species